rnacentral:rRNA from 1 species
CGUGGGGUGCGAGCGUUAAUCGGAAUUACUGGGCGUAAAGCGUGCGCAGGCGGUUUUGUAAGCCAGAUGUGAAAUCCCCGGGCUUAACCUGGGAAUGGCAUUUGGGACUGCAAGGCUUGAGUGCGGCAGAGGAGACUGGAAUUCCCGGUGUAGCAGUGAAAUGCGUAGAUAUCGGGAGGAAUACCGAUGGCGAAGGCAGGUCUCUGGGCUGACACUGACGCUCAUGCACGAAAGCGUGGGGAGCAAACAGGAUUAGAUACCCUGGUAGUCCACGCCCUAAACGAUGUCGACUGGUUGUUGGGGGUUUGACACUCUCAGUAACGAAGCUAACGCGUGAAGUCGACCGCCUGGGGAGUACGGCCGCAAGGUUA